rnacentral:rRNA from 1 species
AUUGAACGCUGGCGGCAGGCUUAACACAUGCAAGUCGAGCGGGGAAAGGUAGCUUGCUUCCUGACCUAGCGGCGGACGGGUGAGUAAUGCUUAGGAAUCUGCCUAUUAGUGGGGGACAACAUCUCGAAAGGGAUGCUAAUACCGCAUACGUCCUACGGGAGAAAGCAGGGGACCUUCGGGCCUUGCGCUAAUAGAUGAGCCUAAGUCGGAUUAGCUAGUUGGUGGGGUAAAGGCCUACCCAGGCGACGAUCUGUAGCGGGUCUGCGAGGAUGAUCCGCCACCAUGGGACUGGGACAAGGCCCAGACUCCUACGGGAGGCAGCAGUGGGGAAAAUUGGACAAUGGGGGGAACCCUGAUCCAGCCAUGCCGCGUGUGUGAAGAAGGCCUUUGGGUUGUAAAGCACUUUAAGCGAGGAGGAGGCUACCGAGAUUAAUACUCUUGGAUAGUGGACGUUACUCGCAGAAUAAGCACCGGCUAACUCUGUG